rnacentral:lncRNA from 1 species
AUAAAUCUCUCCUACCUGGAAGAGAAGAAAGGAAGAAACAGGAAGGCGACCCGCUCCUGUGGCUCCCUCCAACCACAGCCCUAUUUUCUCCCUGUUUCGCUCAGAGAGAACCUGCCUGAGAAUGAAGCCAACACCGAGAACACGAGUCGAGAGAUGGAGGAUCCUGAUGACAACCUCUGAACUCCUGGAUCCAGCUGUGCCUAAAGUCAAACUCCUGGUGGCUUUCUGGCCUUUGCAUCCGCACGAGGCUUAACAUGUGGCAGAAGGAACUACCCAGAUGGAUUCUCGUGACUUCAGUUUAUGUGAUUUGAUUUCCACUGACUAAAAUGAAUGGCCUGGGUUGGUCUGCAAGCGCACCAAGGAGACAGCACCGAAUGUCACGUGUCAGGGAUGCUGCCUGAGUGUGCGAGGCAGGCAGGGACUUUGCUUUCAUUCUGCGUCUGCUUUCUAACCUAUUCUCCCUGAGUUGUACACUCUGGGUUUAAAAGCAGAGGAGUAGAUGGCCGGGCACGGUGGCUCACGC